UACGUAGGGGGCAAGCGUUGUCCGGAAUCAUUGGGCGUAAAGAGCGCGUAGGCGGCCCAGUAAGUCCGCUCUGAAAGUCAGGGGCUCAACCCCUGAAUGCGGGUGGAUACUGCUGGGCUAGAGUCCGGAAGAGGCGAGUGGAAUUCCUGGUGUAGCGGUGAAAUGCGCAGAUAUCAGGAGGAACACCAAUGGCGAAGGCAGCUCGCUGGGACGGUACUGGACGCUGAGGCGCGAAAGCGUGGGGAGCAAACAGG
rnacentral:rRNA from 1 species